UACGUAGGGGGCAAGCGUUGUCCGGAUUUAUUGGGCGUAAAGAGCGUGUAGGCGGCCAGGUAGGUCUGCUGUGAAAACUCGAGGCUCAACCUCGAGAUGUCGGCGGAAACCAUCUGGCUAGAGUCCGGAAGAGGAGAGUGGAAUUCCCGGUGUAGCGGUGAAAUGCGCAGAUAUCGGGAAGAACACCUAUGGCGAAGGCAGCUCUCUGGGACGGUACUGACGCUGAGACGCGAAAGCGUGGGGAGCGAACAGG
rnacentral:rRNA from 1 species